UUUAUGCUAUGCAAAAGCAAUUCUCACGGUUAACUCAGCUAAGAAGUGUUAGAACUUUUUCUUGCGGACACCAGGCAAGUUUACCUUUAGUUAAUAAAUGGACUCCCAGACGCGAUUCUCGAGCUUGUCUUGGCCGCUUUCCUCUUUUGUUUCCUCUUCCUCCCCUCUUACGUUUAAACGCACAACAGAUCUUUGAAGGAAUCAAUGACAAGGGUCUUCUAAAAGAGGACAUUUAUAAAUUAGUAAAGUUUUUAACUAAGGACAAAA